rnacentral:rRNA from 1 species
CAGCAGCCGGGUAAAACGAAGGGUGCAAGCGUUACUCGGAAUUACUGGGCGUAAAGCGUGCGUAGGUGGUGGUUUAAGUCCGUUGUGAAAGCCCUGGGCUCAACCUGGGAAUUGCAGUGGAUACUGGGUCACUAGAGUGUGGUAGAGGAUAGUGGAAUUUCCGGUGUAGCAGUGAAAUGCGUAGAGAUCGGAAGGAACAUCUGUGGCGAAGGCGACUAUCUGGGCCAACACUGACACUGAGGCACGAAAGCGUGGGGAGCAAACAGGAUUAGAUACCCCAGUAGUCCCUGUCUCUUAUACA